rnacentral:pre_miRNA from 1 species
UCUUAUGGGGAUGAACAAAGAAAGUGGUUUCUUGAGAUGGACUCUACUCCUGGUGAAGAUGCUGUGAA